GAUGAAGAACGCAGCGAAAUGCGAUAAGUAAUGUGAAUUGCAGAAUUCAGUGAAUCAUCGAAUCUUUGAACGCACAUUGCGCCCGCCAGUAUUCUGGCGGGCAUGCCUGUUCGAGCGUCAUUUCAACCCACAAGACCCCUUCGGGGGACUUGGUGUUGGGGACCGGCACAGGGGCCUGCCUGCUUGUCUUGCAGCGCCCUCGCCGCCCCCGAAAUGAAUUGGCGGCCUCGUCGCGGCCUCCCCUGCGUAGUAGCACAAACCUCGCAACGGGAACGUGACGGCGGCCACUGCCGUAAAACAACCCAAUUUUAUUAGAGUUGACCUCGAAUCAGGUAGGAAUACCCGCUGAACUUAAGCAUAUCAAUAAGCGGAGGA
rnacentral:misc_RNA from 1 species